GGAUGAGAGGUUGAUCUGGUUGCAACAUCUGUCACCUCAUUGAUCAUCAGGGUUGAUUUGGCUCAUCUGGCUGUCUAGGUGGAUGUCUCCUUUCUCCCUCACCAUUCCAUGUACGUUGCUCCCGAAGCUGCACAGUUGGUCAAAGAUGACGACCUUCCCUGACAGAGGCGUUCUGUUUUUCGGUCAAGGGUAUACAAGUAGCUGUGCUCCCCUUCUAGAACAAGCUCCCAAGGUCCAUUUGUAGGAGAACAUAGAGUAGUCAAGCUUCCAAGACUCCAGACACAUCCAAAUGGGGCACUGCACGUGGUAGUCUGCCUUCCUUU
rnacentral:snRNA from 1 species